UACGUAGGGUGCGAGCGUUGUCCGGAAUUAUUGGGCGUAAAGGGCUCGUAGGCGGUUUGUCGCGUCAGGAGUGAAAACUCGGGGCUUAACCCCGAGCCUGCUUCUGAUACGGGCAGACUAGAGGUAUGCAGGGGAGAACGGAAUUCCUGGUGUAGCGGUGAAAUGCGCAGAUAUCAGGAGGAACACCGGCGGCGAAGGCGGUUCUCUGGGCAUUACCUGACGCUGAGGAGCGAAAGUGUGGGGAGCGAACAGG
rnacentral:rRNA from 1 species